GUGAGGAAUAUUGGUCAAUGGACGAGAGUCUGAACCAGCCAAGUCGCGUGAGGGAAGACGGUUCUAUGAAUUGUAAACUUCUUUUGUGCAGGAAUAAAGUGGGUUACGUGUAACCUUUUGUAUGUACUGUACGAAUAAGGAUCGGCUAACUCCGUGCCAGCAGCCGCGGUAAUACGGAGGAUCCGAGCGUUAUCCGGAUUUAUUGGGUUUAAAGGGUGCGUAGGUGGAUUGAUAAGUCAGCGGUGAAAGUUUGCAGCUUAACUGUAAAAUUGCCGUUGAAACUGUCGGUCUUGAGUGCAAAUGAGGUAGGCGGAAUGUGUUGUGUAGCGGUGAAAUGCUUAGAUAUAACACAGAACUCCGAUUGCGAAGGCAGCUUACUGGGAUGCAACUGACACUGAUGCACGAAAGCGUGGGUAUCAAACAGGAUUAGAUACCCCUGUAGUCC
rnacentral:rRNA from 1 species